GCCCUGGAGGACUAGUGGUUAGGCCUCGGUGCUCUCACCGGCACAGCCCGGGUUUGAUUCCCGGCCAGGGAA
rnacentral:tRNA from 1 species